rnacentral:rRNA from 1 species
UUGCACCUGGUGGCGAGUGGCGAACGGGUGAGUAAUACAUCGGAACGUACCUUAUCGUGGGGGAUAACGCAGCGAAAGCUGUGCUAAUACCGCAUACGCCCUGAGGGGGAAAGCGGGGGAUCGAAAGACCUCGCGCGAUUAGAGCGGCCGAUGCCUGGUUAGCUUGUUGGUGGGGUAAAAGCCCACCAAGGCGACGAUCAGUAGCUGGUCUGAGAGGACGAUCAGCCACACUGGGACUGAGACACGGCCCAGACUCCUACGGGAGGCAGCAGUGGGGAAUUUUGGACAAUGGGGGAAACCCUGAUCCAGCAAUGCCGCGUGAGUGAAGAAGGCCUUCGGGUUGUAAAGCUCUUUUGUCAGGGAAGAAACACCGGCUCUAACACAGUCCGGGAAUGACGGUACCUGAAGAAUAAGCACCGGCUAACUACGUGCCAGCAGCCGCGGUAAUACGUAGGGUGCGAGCGUUAAUCGGAAUUACUGGGCGUAAAGCGUGCGCAGGCGGUUAUACAAGACAGGCGUGAAAUCCCCGGGCUUAACCUGGGAAUGGCGCCUGUGACUGUAUAGCUAGAGUGUGUCAGAGGGGGGUAGAAUUCCACGUGUAGCAGUGAAAUGCGUAGAUAUGUGGAGGAAUACCAAUGGCGAAGGCAGCCCCCUGGGAUAACACUGACGCUCAUGCACGAAAGCGUGGGGAGCAAACAGG